rnacentral:rRNA from 1 species
AACGAACGCUGGCGGCAUGCCUAACACAUGCAAGUCGAACGAGACCUUCGGGUCUAGUGGCGCACGGGUGCGUAACGCGUGGGAACCUGCCCUUAGGUUCGGAAUAACUCCCCGAAAGGGGUGCUAAUACCGGUUAAUGUCUUCGGACCAAAGAUUUAUCGCCUUUGGAUGGGCCCGCGUUGGAUUAGCUAGUUGGUAGGGUAAAAGCCUACCAAGGCGACGUUCCAUAGCUGGUCUGGGAGGAUGAUCAGCCACACUGGGACUGAGACACGGCCCAGACUCCUACGGGAGGCAGCAGUGGGGAAUAUUGGACAAGGGGCGAAAGCCUGAUACAGCAAUGCCGCGUGAGUGAUGAAGGCCUUAGGGUUGUAAAGCUCUUUUACCCGGGAUGAUAAUGACAGUACCGGGAGAAUAAGCUCCGGCUAACUCCGUG